AGUGAACGCUGGCGGUAGGCCUAACACAUGCAAGUCGAACGGCAGCACAGUAAUAGCUUGCUCGUACGGGUGGCGAGUGGCGGACGGUUGAGGAAUACGUCGGACUCUACUUUUUCGUGGGGGUGAACGAAGGGGACCUUACGCUAAUACUGCAUACGACCUACGGGUGAAAGCAGGGGAUGUUCUGACCUUGUGCGAAUGAAUGAGCCGCUGUCGGAUUAGCUAGUUGGCGGGGUAAAGGCCCACCAAGGCGACGAUCCGUAGCUGGUCUGAGAGGAUGAUCAGCCACACUGGAACUGAGACACGGUCCAGACUCCUACGGGAGGCAGCAGUGGGGAAUAUUGGACAAUGGGCGCAAGCCUGAUCCAGCCAUACCGCGUGGGUGAAGAAGGCCUUCGGGUUGUAAAGCCCUUUUGUUGGGAAAGAAAAGCAGCAGGUUAAUACCCCGCUGUUCUGACGGUACCCAAAGAAUAAGCACCGGCUAACUUCGUG
rnacentral:rRNA from 1 species